UACGGGGGGGGCAAGCGUUGUUCGGAAUUACUGGGCGUAAAGGGCUCGUAGGCGGCCAACUAAGUCAGACGUGAAAUCCCUCGGCUUAACCGGGGAACUGCGUCUGAUACUGGAUGGCUUGAGUUUGGGAGAGGGACGCGGAAUUCCAGGUGUAGCGGUGAAAUGCGUAGAUAUCGGGAGGAACACCAGUGGCGAAGGCGGCGAUCUGGGUAGAUACUGGCGCUGAGGUGCGAAAGCGUGGGGAGCAAACAGG
rnacentral:rRNA from 1 species